UACUCCUUCCCUUACUA
rnacentral:tRNA from 1 species